AGCGAACGCUGGCGGCAGGCUUAACACAUGCAAGUCGAGCGGGCGUAGCAAUACGUCAGCGGCAGACGGGUGAGUAACGCGUGGGAACGUACCUUUUGGUUCGGAACAACCCAGGGAAACUUGGGCUAAUACCGGAUAAGCCCUUACGGGGAAAGAUUUAUCGCCGAAAGAUCGGCCCGCGUCUGAUUAGCUAGUUGGUGAGGUAACGGCUCACCAAGGCGACGAUCAGUAGCUGGUCUGAGAGGAUGAUCAGCCACAUUGGGACUGAGACACGGCCCAAACUCCUACGGGAGGCAGCAGUGGGGAAUAUUGGACAAUGGGCGCAAGCCUGAUCCAGCCAUGCCGCGUGAGUGAUGAAGGCCCUAGGGUUGUAAAGCUCUUUUGUGCGGGAAGAUAAUGACGGUACCGCAAGAAUAACGCCCCGGCUAACUUCGUGCCAGCAGCCGCGGUAAC
rnacentral:rRNA from 1 species